UCAUGCUGAGCCCAGCCCACUAUCCCCUUGCUCCCAAUUUUCACCCACCCACUGGCAAUGAUAGCCCUGAUGAGCACAACGAACGACUGUAAAAACCUAGGAGCUGAUUUUAUUUUGCGUUGGCUGAGCUUGAGAAAGGAAAUGAAGCCAGUCAGGAGAAUGCAGGAUGUGGGGACAUUUUAAUGCUGAUAAAGACCAUCGAUUCCUCAAGAUUCUGUCCUGCAUAGAUUAGUCAACUUCUGGAGUGACUAACGCAGAGCUGCAGUUUCCCAGAGCCUCUGGAGUUGCAGAUUGCUCCUUCCACAUGGUCAGCUUGCAUGGUGUCGAUGGAUCAGGAAUGCACUCCCAGUUUCAAGACGCUGGCUUUGCUGUGCUGUGGUAAAUCCAGGGACCCACCUUAACUACCUUUACUGCAGUAGGUGACAGUGAAUGGGCCCUUGCAGAGGGGUUUUAGGGGUUGGACAUUCCACUCCUUUCCCCAAACGGCAUCUCCUGGUUUAAAAGGGUAUUUCCAGCAUUUGGCCUACCGGAAAAACUGCCUCCAUUACCUCUUAAUCUAAUAUUUGGACCUCAUUCUGCCAAAGUUUUUCUUUUAAAAAU